rnacentral:rRNA from 1 species
GACGAACGCUGGCGGCGUGCUUAACACAUGCAAGUCGUACGGUGAAGCUCCAGCUUGCUGGAGUGGAUCAGUGGCGAACGGGUGAGUAACACGUGAGCAACCUGCCCCUGACUCUGGAAUAAGCGCUGGAAACGGCGUCUAAUACUGGAUACGAGAAGGGUCCGCAUGGGCACUUUCUGGAAAGUUUUUCGGUUGGGGAUGGGCUCGCGGCCUAUCAGCUUGUUGGUGAGGUAAUGGCUCACCAAGGCGACGACGGGUAGCCGGCCUGAGAGGGCGACCGGCCACACUGGGACUGAGACACGGCCCAGACUCCUACGGGAGGCAGCAGUGGGGAAUAUUGCACAAUGGGCGAAAGCCUGAUGCAGCGACGCCGCGUGAGGGAUGACGGCCUUCGGGUUGUAAACCUCUUUCAGCAGGGAAGAAGCGAAAGUGACGGUACCUGCAGAAGAAGCACCGGCUAACUACGUG